UGCACCAUUGUGGAAGUUAUUUUUAUGGAGUUCAGUAACUUCAUUGAUAGUAAGGACCUGUGUGUGUGUGUGUGUGUUUAUGUGACAGAGUCUUGCUCUGUUGUCCAGGCUGGAG